rnacentral:sRNA from 1 species
CAGGGCGCCUUAAGGUUUACUUAAUCUCACGCGGGCAUACUCUUCUCUGUUUUCCGGAGGAGAGUGUGAUGAAAAAACGUAUCUGUGAAAGUCUGACAACAAUAUUCAGCGUUCUGGUGGUCAGCAGCUUCCUGUACAUCUGGGUGACCACCUACUAAACCUUCU